rnacentral:rRNA from 1 species
UAGAGUUUGAUCCUGGCUCAGAUUGAACGCUGGCGGCAGGCCUAACACAUGCAAGUCGAGCGGAUGAAGGGAGCUUGCUCCCUGAUUUAGCGGCGGACGGGUGAGUAAUGCCUAGGAAUCUGCCUGGUAGUGGGGGAUAACGUUCCGAAAGGAACGCUAAUACCGCAUACGUCCUACGGGAGAAAGCAGGGGACCUUCGGGCCUUGCGCUAUCAGAUGAGCCUAGGUCGGAUUAGCUAGUUGGUGAGGUAAUGGCUCACCAAGGCGACGAUCCGUAACUGGUCUGAGAGGAUGAUCAGUCACACUGGAACUGAGACACGGUCCAGACUCCUACGGGAGGCAGCAGUGGGGAAUAUUGGACAAUGGGCGAAAGCCUGAUCCAGCCAUGCCGCGUGUGUGAAGAAGGUCUUCGGAUUGUAAAGCACUUUAAGUUGGGAGGAAGGGCAUUAACCUAAUACGUUAGUGUUUUGACGUUACCAACAGAAUAAGCACCGGCUAACUUCGUGCCAGCAGCCGCGGUAAUACGAAGGGUGCAAGCGUUAAUCGGAAUUACUGGGCGUAAAGCGCGCGUAGGUGGUUCGUUAAGUUGGAUGUGAAAGCCCCGGGCUCAACCUGGGAACUGCAUCCAAAACUGGCGAGCUAGAGUACGGUAGAGGGUGGUGGAAUUUCCUGUGUAGCGGUGAAAUGCGUAGAUAUAGGAAGGAACACCAGUGGCGAAGGCGACCACCUGGACUGAUACUGACACUGAGGUGCGAAAGCGUGGGGAGCAAACAGGAUUAGAUACCCUGGUAGUCCACGCCGUAAACGAUGUCAACUAGCCGUUGGAAUCCUUGAGAUUUUAGUGGCGCAGCUAACGCAUUAAGUUGACCGCCUGGGGAGUACGGCCGCAAGGUUAAAACUCAAAUGAAUUGACGGGGGCCCGCACAAGCGGUGGAGCAUGUGGUUUAAUUC